rnacentral:rRNA from 1 species
AAGCAGCUUGCUGCUUUGCUGACGAGUGGCGGACGGGUGAGUAAUGUCUGGGAAACUGCCUGAUGGAGGGGGAUAACUACUGGAAACGGUAGCUAAUACCGCAUAACGUCGCAAGACCAAAGAGGGGGACCUUAGGGCCUCUUGCCAUCGGAUGUGCCCAGAUGGGAUUAGCUAGUAGGUGGGGUAACGGCUCACCUAGGCGACGAUCCCUAGCUGGUCUGAGAGGAUGACCAGCCACACUGGAACUGAGACACGGUCCAGACUCCUACGGGAGGCAGCAGUGGGGAAUAUUGCACAAUGGGCGCAAGCCUGAUGCAGCCAUGCCGCGUGUAUGAAGAAGGCCUUCGGGUUGUAAAGUACUUUCAGCGGGGAGGAAGGGAGUAAAGUUAAUACCUUUGCUCAUUGACGUUACCCGCAGAAGAAGCACCGGCUAACUCCGUGCCAGCAGCCGCGGUAAUACGGAGGGUGCAAGCGUUAAUCGGAAUUACUGGGCGUAAAGCGCACGCAGGCGGUUUGUUAAGUCAGAUGUGAAAUCCCCGGGCUCAACCUGGGAACUGCAUCUGAUACUGGCAAGCUUGAGUCUCGUAGAGGGGGGUAGAAUUCCAGGUGUAGCGGUGAAAUGCGUAGAGAUCUGGAGGAAUACCGGUGGCGAAGGCGGCCCCCUGGACGAAGACUGACGCUCAGGUGCGAAAGCGUGGGGAGCAAACAGGAUUAGAUACCCUGGUAGUCCACGCCGUAAACGAUGUCGACUUGGAGGUUGUGCCCUUGAGGCGUGGCUUCCGGAGCUAACGCGUUAAGUUGACCGCCUGGGGAGUACGGCCGCAAGGUUAAAACUCAAAUGAAUUGACGGGGGCCCGCACAAGCGGUGGAGCAUGUGGUUUAAUUCGAUGCAACGCGAAGAACCUUACCUGGUCUUGACAUCCACGGAAGUUUUCAGAGAUGAGAAUGUGCCUUCGGGAACCGUGAGACAGGUGCUGCAUGGCUGUCGUCAGCUCGUGUUGUGAAAUGUUGGGUUAAGUCCCGCAACGAGCGCAACCCUUAUCCUUUGUUGCCAGCGGUCCGGCCGGGAACUCAAAGGAGACUGCCAGUGAUAAACUGGAGGAAGGUGGGGAUGACGUCAAGUCAUCAUGGCCCUUACGACCAGGGCUACACACGUGCUACAAUGGCGCAUACAAAGAGAAGCGACCUCGCGAGAGCAAGCGGACCUCAUAAAGUGCGUCGUAGUCCGGAUUGGAGUCUGCAACUCGACUCCAUGAAGUCGGAAUCGCUAGUAAUCGUGGAUCAGAAUGCCACGGUGAAUACGUUCCCGGGCCUUGUACACACCGCCCGUCACACCAUGGGAGUGGGUUGCAAAAGAAGUAGGUAGCUUAACCUUCGGGAGGGCGCUUACCACUUUGUGAUUCAUGACUGGGGUGAAGUCGUAACAAGGUAACCGUAGGGGAACCUGCGGUUGGAUCACCUCCUUA